rnacentral:lncRNA from 1 species
AUACUAGCCGGUAACUUGAGGGUAUUCAGUCCCUAGACUUAACUGGUGUAUAAGUCGAGCUAGCUACACUGUGGAAGUAAGUUGAAGAGCUACAUAAUAGGCCCAUCCUCUCGAUGCCUCUUAUUAAGAAGGUCCAAGAAGAGGAGAAAGUCAAAAAUAUUUGAGGUGUUGAAUAUUCAAACCUAAUCUGGUUAAAGGGUAAAGAAAAACAAAAAAUAAAAGAGAAGAAGAAUAGAGGAACAGAAUGUUUAGGCCACAAAAAUAGUUAGUAUUUAGAUUAAGCUAGACCACGAGGCAAGGGUCCGAGAGAUGGCGUUGGGGCCUGGUAAUUCGAGAUCUACUGAUUCUGCUGAGUUGAGCAGUAGUACAGCCCCACCGCUUGAGCCACCUUUCAGAUCACUGGCCACCACCAGUGCCACUAUUGUAGAUAAAUUCUUGACAGCUGUUAGGACCACUAAUGUUAAGAGUGGGAUCCGGUUAGAGGUCCCACGUGCUGAUCUUACUUGAUCUGGUUCCUAGGUCGCCCAGGUAUGUCUUCACCCUUUGUUUUAUAUUCUUUUUAUAUGCACUUGGUAUAGUGUAUAGGUAUUUAGUUAGGGGUAGGGUUGUACUGUAGAGCUAUAAUAUGUUAUUGUUAUCGUAUUUCUUUUCUCGCCAACUGCGGUUUAAAUGAGGAACCGGCAUGUAGUGUUGUGUUUUUAUGUUUUAUGAUGUGUUGUGUGAUGCUAAAUUGGGAGGAAACAUAGUAUCUAAGGCAAGUAAUAUUUUUAAUAUUAGUGUGCUCCCAUGGUAUCUAAGGCAAUUAAUGUUUUGUAUAUGAGUGUACUGUAAUUUGUGAAAAUGUUUGAGAAAAUGUGUGCUGUAAUUGCUGAAAAUGUUUGAGAAAAUGGUACCCCUCCUAAAAUUUUGAUAACUGUGUGAUCUGGUAUGCGUGUGACUGUGGUGAAUCUAGUAAUGGCAUUAGAAUUAGGGACAUAAUAAUUGUAACACUGUACAAUGUGUGUGAGGCAUUGCCUAGUUCUCGAUGUGUAUGGAAUCUAGAACUUGCCCGGUUGCUCUUGCCUAGGUUGUAGGAUGGUUGGUUAAGAGAUUAUCAUAGGCCAUUUUUUAAUAAGUCCACUUUAUCCCAAAUUUGCUAACUAAAUGAAAUAGAAAUCCCUCGAUCCGGAUGUUGAGCCUUAAAAGACCGAUUUUUCAUUUACACCAAUUCACAUUCAUGUUAAGCUACAGUGAACCUAUUUUGGCCCUAGUCCUCCUUGGAAACUGCGCACCUCAACUCAAGCAAAUUGCCUAAGUUGAGGGUGACUAUUAUAGAGGUGUGUACUAAAAAGUUUGUUUUAAAAAAGGGUGUAGAUAGAAAAAAUAAGUAGAGUUAGGUAUGGUAGAUAGAAUGAAAAAAAAAAGAAAAAGAAAGUAAAAAUAGAAUUGAAAAAGUAGAAAAAGAAAGAAUAAAUGAAACCAGAUUGAGCCUAAAUAAGCAGUAAAAGAAUAAAAAAGGACAAAUAAGGGCAGACUAAACAAAAAGUUGGUAAAAGAGUGGACCACAAAGAAAUCAUAGUGCCAAGAAGGCUAAGUCACUUAAAAAAUCCUCAAUUGUACAAUGCCAGCCCCAAGCCUACAUUACAAGCCUAAUAAAAGUAAACACAGGGAAACAACAUACAGGCAAGCCUAUGACAUUCUGUUUGCACUGAUUGGAACUUCUUUGUGAGUGAGAGCAUAUCUUGAUCAUCCCUAUAGGAACAUGCUGAUCUAAUUGAGUGAUAAGGACUUAUUUGAUUGUAAAGGUCCAUGGGUUGCAUUGUUAAGAUUAUUUAUAUGUCCAUGUAGUGACCCAGUUACUUAUUACUAACGUAAUUCCAUCACCUAGAUCUUGUGUGUCACACUAUUGUACCAAAAAAAUGAUCUUCGUGUUUUUGCCUGAGCACUUGCAAACUUUCUAAGUCGAGGGUGUUGAUGUGCCAUAGAAACAUGGCACAUUUGAUACUUUAAAUGGUGAAAUUAUGCACUAACUUAGGUCAUUUCAUCGGAUAUGAUGUAUGUUUUAUGUGUUUUGUAGGUAAACUAAGUUUGAAGGGGGUGUUGGACUAAAAAGGAGAAAAAAAGUGCUGAAAAAUUCAAGUACUGGUCAAGCUACGAGUCGUUAAGUCACCAUACGACUCGUAGUCAGACCCGUAAGGAUACGAGUAGCUAAAGUUGAACUAAAAAAAAAUAAGUAAGGACUGACCACAACUCGUAAAUAGUGACUACGAGUCAUGGUGUGUGACCAUAAAGAUCAUAGUAAGCAAAGUUGAAGCACAUGAAUGAUGUAAUAGAAGGCUACAGGUUCUAAGGUCAGACAAUGACUCGUAGUGAGAGGUCGUACUGUGACCAGUGUAUAAAGUUUUUAAUAUUGAUGCCUUAGUGGUAACGAGUAAAGACCACGAGUCAUAAGAACUAUCUACGACUCGUGGUGGGUAGUCAUAAGGAGAACGAAUUCAAUUGCACUAAAAAUGAAAAACUAUGGCAGUGACUAAGAUUAGCAACAUAUGACUCGUAGGGUGACACUACGAGUCGUAACAACUGAAGCCUGAAGAGAGAUACGACAACAGGAAAUGAGUCAUAACCAGACCAAACGACUCGUUGCUAGAGGCAUAACAACUGCCGACAAAGUUUUUUAAGUUUUUUUAAUUAGGUUUUCUUUGUUAUUUUAAGAUACUGUAAAUACUCUAGGGUUAUUCCUUUAUUAUAUUACGCACUUUUAGUACUUUUUUGCCAUACUUUGACUUCUUAAUACUUUGGAUAUUUUUGUUCUUGCGUUUUUAAUUUUUGUAUUCAAUUGGAGAUUUUAGAUUUUACUCUUUCACUAUUGUGCAAUCAAUUACAUCUCUUCUUUAUUGAUUUCCAUGGAUUGUUGCAUAAGCAUGAGCAUUUAGUUUCCUUUACUGGGGUUGUGGGAACCCUGGUGAAUUAACAAUGUAAGGGAAGUGGGAUAUUUAUCUAUUAUAUUUUGGUUGAGUGUAAUGUGAUUCCUUUAUAUUACUUGUACCCCAAGCUACUGCAGAAGUUUUAGGAUUUCCUGUAUUCGAGAUCAUCCUUACAAAGGAGUUCAAGAUUGGGAAAGAAGGUUACAACAAUGAUUCUAGGCUAUCAACCCUCGUAUAAUCAACUUGAAACCCAGAAGGUAAUAGUUGUAUAGGGUUAAUAAAAAGGGAUAGUAAGGUGCCACCAUCAAAAUCAAAAGGUGAAGGGUGAGAUUUAUCAACACAUUUACAAGAGGGUUGAUAAUACAUAACUUGUCAGACUUUGUAUGCAGAAUAGUGGGAUAGGUGAGUUGAACAUGAGAAUCUUAUACAGUUAGAUGCCCAAGGAACAUAGUCCUAGUGUUUUUAUUCUAUUAUUUAUAAUCUCAAGCACUCAAGCUCAGUUACUGGUUACUGUUGACUUUAAAUCCCUCCAUUUACUUUUUUGCACUACCCAUGAUUUCACCAAUUUUGAUAUAUUUCCACACAUUCCCUAUGGGUUCUACCCUAACCUGGUUUGAGUUACUAUAUUUGACAUCAACCGCAGCAUACUUCUUUGGAGGUUAGCUUUGGGCAACAUCAAUAAUCAUACUAGAGAAAAUGCAUAGGUAAAAGCACAACUUCAUAGUCGAGAAUUUGGUGAUUGGUUUAAGGAAAAAGUUUUAAAUAUUGAAGUGCCAAAUCAUUUAAGAUGGCUAGCUAUAGGGCCUAAUUUUGUGGCUAAAAGAUAUACUGCAUAUUUCGUUAAUGGAUAUCAAUUUCAUACAAUGACACAGGAUGUCUCAGUUAAGACUGAAAAUAGUGGAGUGACUUUGUCAGCAACAAUAGAUAGUUUUGCUGGUGCUAGAGACCUGAAUCCUGUUGAUGGAAUAGUUAUCUAUUAUGGAGUUAUUCAAGAUAUCAUCAACAUAGAUUUUUGGGGUUGCUGUAGUGUUGUACUAAUUAGAUGUGAUUGAUUUCAUAAUGAAGUAGAUGAAUAUGGAUUGACGCACAUAAAUUUCAAUAGAAAAUACAGUAUAGAUGACCUUUUUGUAUUAGCAUCACAAGUGCAUCAAGGGAGAUCCAAUUGAGAAAGGAAUUUAUUGUGUAAGAAAUAAAGUUCCUGUUGAUUUGUAUGAUUUGGAGGAAGAAACUUAUCCCAGUAUUAAAGAAACAUUUUGGAGGGAGCCUAAUGAUGAAAUUGGUUCAUUAAAAAAAAGUACUCGGUGUUGAUGUCAGAUGGUCAAGAGAAGAUCUCCCUGUUGACAGCAUUGAUAUGCCUUCCUAUGCACAACAUCAGAAUAUGUAAUGGAAAUAUCAAAAGAGGAGGAUGACAUUGAUGAUAUCGAUUGGGAUUGGAUGGAAGUUGAUGAUUGACAUAAAAGUUUCUUCUUAAUGGUUAGUAGUUAAUGUACUUGAUGUUCCUUAAUGUCUUUAAUGUGCUUGACUAUCUUUUCUUUUGUUUCUUUAAUGUUGUUGGUUUUCAAAAUGUCUUAAAUUAGUGGAACUUAACAAAUACACAUGCGCUAAGAGCUGUUGAACAGAUUAUGAAUUCUUUCUUUUUGGUACCUUUCUCUUCUCUUGCGAUUAAUAUUUUUGCUCAGUCUUUUUAUUUCUUCUUCAAUUCUAGUAUUUAUCUUUCUGCAUAGUCUUUUUGAGAAAUCUUUAACUUCCAAUUGCACCAAGGAAAAUUUAGGUUCCAAUCUCUCUCUCUUUCUCUAUCUCCAUCUCUCUGAUAUUUAUAAUUGAUAUUUUUUGUUGAAUAUACAUAAAGAAGAUGUGUGUCUCUAGUUGAUAAUUUUUGCUUAAUAUAUAUAAUAAAGUCAAAUGUAACACCUAAAAAAUAGUUGAUAAUUGCCACUACUCUUGUCCCUUCUCAAAUUCUAUAGUGCUUAAGCUAUGGUUUUAGUAAAUUACGGUUAUUGGUUAGGCAUGCUAAUUGGUCGUUAUUAUAUUUCUUGCGGAGGUUUAUUAUCUCAAGGGGCCUGUAGAACUUUUAGUUUCACCUUAUAUUAGCAGUUUUAUAACAUAUACUAGCUAAAAUUUCUUUUGAAAAUAACCUCUCUACCUCAUAGAUAAGGUCUGUGACACUCUACCCUUCCCAAACUCCACUUGUGGGAUCACACUCGGGUUGUUGUUGAAGCUGAAAUAUACUUUUACCCUAUGUGCCUUACUACCUUUCCAAGUUCAAAAUUUAUGUUCAUAGGUCAAUCAAUAAGCAUACAUUUUAUUCUAUAGUAGGUUCAAGUCAUUGUAGCUCUAUAUUUUUAACAAUUAGCUUUAUCAAAGAAUAUUAAUGAGAUAGCAGUAAUACGAAAAUAUGAUGAGACAAUGAGCAGAUUUAGUCAUCUGAAGCAAAAUUAUUUUCUUUUUUAGCUCAAUGUUGGAUUGCUGGCUGACUUUGUACAGCUAUUACCUCUCUAUGCUUCCAUCCUGAAACUGGGAAAGAAGAUAAUUCUUUAUAGUAAUACACUAAGAAAGCACCCUUAUUUGUAAACCUUCUCUGCUACUUACUAGAAGUUAAGUUCUAAACAAUCUCUUUUUGGUGAAGUUUGAUUAGUAAUGCUGAUAAUCUUGUUUCUGAAUUUUUUCUGUACCUUUUUGUGUUGUUCUGUUUGACCAAUGAUGUGAUUAGUAGCAAAAAAUAAUGUGUAUGGUUAUGUUUGUUUUUCUAAUGAACAUGUUUCUUAGUAUUUCUAUUGAUCGAUUUCUGUAUAUGCCUACUAAGUCUAGCAAGUAGUUUGUAUUUUUAAUCUAUUCUACUUAUUGAACUCUAAGUCAGUAGUCAGUAACUAACUUCCUGUUGUUGAAUUCUUUUUCCUUUACUCUACUAAUUGUCAGAGUGCACUGUUACAGUGGUUAUGGUGCUGAGCAAGGAGAAAAAGUAAGUAGGGACUUCUUACAUAUUUAUGUAAUUUUAUAUGAAUAAAUGAUAUUUGGCAUGAGCACUGGUAGUUUGUCUUAAGCUAUGAUGUAACGGUCGACACUGUCGCUUAAGCUAUCUAUGGUUUUAGUAAAUUGCAGCUACUGGUUAAGCAUGCUAAUUAGCCGUUAUUAUAUUUCUUGCGGAGGUUUAUUGUCUGGAUGGACCUAUAGAACUUUUACUUUCACCUUAUAUUGGCAGUAUUAUAACAUAUACCAACUGAAAUUUCGUUGGGAAACAACAUCUCUACCUCAUAGAUAAGGUCCAUGACACUCUACCCUUCUCAAACCCCACCUAUGGAAUCACACUAGGGUUGUUGUGGCUGAAAUAUACUUUUACCCUCUGUGCCUUACAACCUUUCCAGGUUCUAAACGUAUGUUCAAAGGUCAAUUAGUAUACAUAGAUUUUAUUCUGGAGUAGGUUUAAGUCAUUGUAGCUAUAUAUUUUUGACAAUUAUCUUUAUCAAAGAAUCUUAACGAGAUAGCAGUAAUGUGGAAAUAUGAUAAGACGACAAGCAGAUUUAUUUAUCUGAGGCAAAAUUAUUUGCUUUUUUAGCUCAAUGUAGGAUGGUUGGAUGAUUUUAUAAAGCCACUACCUCUAUAUGCUUCCAUACUGAAACUGGGGAAAGAAGACAAUUAUUUAUAGUAAUAUACUAAAAGAGCACCCCUAUUUGUAAACCUUCUCUGCUACUUACUAGGAGUUAAGUUCUAUACAUCUCUAUUUGGCGAAGUUAGAUUAGUAAUGUUGAUAACCUUGUAUUUGAAUUUUGUAUGUGCCUUUUUGUGUUGUUCUGUUUGACCAAUGAUGCGAUUACUAACAAAAAAUAAUGUGUAUGGUUACGUUUGUUUUUCUAAUGAACAUGUUUCUGAGUAUUUCUAUUGAUCGAUUUCAGUAUAUGCCUACAAAGUCUAGCAAGUAGUUUGUAUUUUUAAUAUAUUCUUCUUAUUGAACUCUAAGUCAAUAAUUAACUUCGUGUUCUUGAAUUCUUUUUCCUUCUCUGCUUAUUGUCAGAGUGCACUGCUUACAGUGGUUAAAGUAAGUAGGGGAUUCUUACAUAUUUAUGUAAUAUGAUAUUAUUUCUAUCACUUGCCGUCCAUUUCUUAUUUCUCUUCCUUCUUUUAAGAAUAAAUGGUAUUUUACCUGAGCACUGGUAGUUUGUCUUUCCUUUAUUUGUACUGGUUUCUUUGUUAAUUUUGUCCUUUUUUUCCUCACAUACAUUGCAAUUUUCUUUAUCGAGUGGUCUCGGUGAUAAAAAAGGGGAAGUUUCUCUUUUUGUCAUAAUGUAAAAAAGGGAUGUACAGCUGAAAUUUCUGAAGCGCUUAAAAGUAUUUCCAUAUAUUAUAUCAACAAUGAUCUAUUACUGUGUUGUAAUUAGCAUUUUAUAAAUAAUUUCUUGACUUGCCAACCAAUUUUUUAAAAAGAAGAAAUGAAAUGCUUCAUGUUUGGGUGUUGUCAAGUAUGGUUAUCUUGGACCUUAUUUAAUAUAUGAAUAAGAAUAACUCGUUGGUCACCAUAUCUUUCAUAGCAGUAAUCUGUUAGAACAAUUCUGAGAAUAGCCAUUAAUUUUUUCUGCCUGAGCAGCAACUAAGAGCCUCCAUUGCUUCUACCUCCAUGUCUCUUGUGUAACCUGUUUGCUUGUGUGAUUCAAUAUUUUUGCUUACUUUCUUUUGUCUUUCUAGAUUUUUAUCAAAUUUUACUCUUAUACUGGAUGCUAUACCUUAUAGUCAAUUUCUAGAAGCCUACUGAAUGCACUAAUUGCGAUUUCUUACUGCAAUUAAGUUGUUCUUGGUUAACUGGUUAGUUGUUCUUACAACAGUUAAGUUGUUCUUGGUUGACUGGUUAGUUGUUCUUACAAAGUUAAGUUGUUCUUGGUUGACCGGUUAAUUGUUCUUACUGCAGUCAAGUUGUUCUUGGUUGUCUAUUUAGUUAAGUCUGAAAUCUUACUGCAGUUAUUUUGUUCCAUCUUAAAUUUACACAUGUUUAGAUAAAAAUUAAUCAAAAAGGGUCUUCGAAAAAUAACAAAAGAGCAAGAAACAAGGCAUUUACUAAACCUGAAUCGUUAUCAGCCAUGACAAAUAGAAAAUGAUGAUUAUUGACAACAAAUGAAAUUGUUCAAGCUAUACGAACAGAGAAAGAGAAUCGUCUAAAAUUAAUUGAAGAACAGCAACCACCAGUAGCACCACUAUCUCAAGAAAUUGAACAAUCUGUAGUGGAGUAUCAUGUUGCAAAGGAGCAAACAUGCAGAGGAUGAGCAACAUGUAGUGGACCAAGUCCAAAUGGCUGAUUCAGCCACUCUUGUAACAACUGAACAUUUUGAAGAACAAGGUAACAUAUAGCUUAGAAACUUAUUGAAUUCAUCCAUGACCUCUAUUUUUUUCUAUUUUCUUAUAGCUGAAGGGCCUUCGACUAGAAAAACAAAAGGUAAACUACAAAUGCACAGGGUACAUGACCGAUAAGAGAAAAAACUUAUCAUACUAAAUCAGGAAAAUCAACCUAUUGGUCCUACAUAUGAAGUUGUAACUGAGUUAAGAAGCUUACUAGGAACAUUGGAGAGGAAUGCGACUCUUUUCCCACUGGAUAUAUUUAAUUGGCUCAUGAAUACUAAAAAGAAUUUAUGAGAUUUUACCCAGGUUUGAGUUGUCAAUAUUUAAUAUAUUUUAAGUUGAGUUCUAAACUUUUACUGCUGCUUCUUCUCCUCUACUUAGUGUCUGUCAUGCGACUCUAUUAUGUUAUUUUCAGUUCAGAAUUGUCUUUGUCCAUGUUUCUUAAAUGAACUCAAUUUGUAGAAUAAUAAAAUAGAUUGGAUAGGAAGGGUUCUUAUUAGCUGAUUCUAACUAGCUUGCGAUAGAGGCUCAAUUGAUUAGUAUUCUGAAGGUACAUACAUAAUUACACAUAAUAUAUAUUGUACAGUUGAUUAUAUAUGAGUUUUUUGGUUCAAUAUACAUUUCAAAUGUUUGGAUACAAAGUAUAUUCAUAUGUCAGGGGAACACUACCAUAGUAUAAUAGAAUCAGUAUCCAGCGUUGGACCCUUAUUUUCUGGACUGUUAUGUUGGUGGUGGUGGUGUAUAGGGUUAAUAUAUGCCAUAUAGUUUGUUAAUGAUUCUUGGUAGUUCUACCCUUUCAUUUCUUUAAUCUAAAAUUUUAGAUUUUUCGAUUGAUGAGCUGGAUGUUUGUUUCUUUCUAUAUGCUAUAAGAGAGGUAGCUAUCGUAGGUGGCUAUUUUGUAACAAGUAGAACGACAAGGGGAUUAUUGUAACGCCAUCAAAGUGUUAGUAGAUCAAUAAAUGACUGAAAUAAUGUUAUGUAACUAGAGAGUCAGAUAAUUGUUAAAUAAUUGAUUUAAUCAACUUUCAAAUAAGGAAAAAUCAACAUGAACAACUAAAAAGGCAAAAAAUAGACAAACAAAGUUUAGUAAAAUUACUUGUAGUGAUAUGAAUUAUUCUUGACAGGUAUCACAUCGUAUUUCUUCAGCCCAUUGAUCCUUGGCCACUUCUCAUAACAAGUAACUUGUCUUCAUCAUUUUCUAUUGAUCUCCUCCUAACUAAAUCCUCAAUUGAACAACUUCCUCUUUCAAACCGACCUUUGUUUACGUUGUUCGCCCAAUAAAAACAUCAUCCUUCUCACAAUUUUUCUUACACUAUAGAAGCUACACAGUUCUCCUGUGCUAAUGUAAUAGCUCCUACUCUUCUUCUGUAGAAAAAUAAGCAAAAUUUGCUUGGGCGUUGCUACUAUAGAAAAGGUCUUUUUCCUGUUUACAAAAAGUAGACAGUGCAAAAAACAAUUUGUUCCUUUCUUUCAUUUUAUUCUUUCACUAUCACUGUCUGUUUCAUUCUUUUGUUCAAAUCUUUGUGUCAUUAAAAAAAAAUAAUCAAACACUUUUUGAAAAUCACUAUAAUUUUAUCAAUUGUACUCUAACAAAGUGUUUCAUAAAGAUGAUAAAGUACUAUUAAUAAAGUUUAUCACUACAACUUUAUCAAACACGUUUUGAGAGUACAAUUCAUAAAGUUUAUCACUACAACUUUAUCAAUUGAUAAAGUACAAUUGAAAACUUUAUCACUACUACUUUAUCAAACACUUUCUUAGAGUACAAUUCUUAAAGUUUAUCACUACAAUUUUAUCAAUUGAUAAAGUACAAUUGAUAAACUUUAUCACUGCAAAUUUAUCAAACACUUUGUGAGAGUACAAUUGAUAAAUUUAUCACAAAAACCUUGCCAAACAUUUUGUGAGAGUAUAAUUGAUAAAGUUGUAGUGAUUUUCAAAAAGUGUUUGAUUAUUUUUAAAAAUAUGAGAGAGAUUUGAACAAAAGAAUGAAAGAGACAUUGAUAGUAAAAGAAAAAAAUAAAAGAAAGGAACAAAUUAUUUACUGCACUAUCUACUCUUUGCAGACAGGAAAAAAGAACUUUUCUAUUGAAGCAGGACACAAUAAAUUAGCUUUUUUUUCUAGAGAAUAAAAGUAGGAGCUACUGCAUUAGAACAAGAGAAUUGUGUAGCUUUUUUAGUUUAAAAUAGAUUGUGAGGAGGACGACCUUUUUUGUUGGGCAAACAAUGUAAAUAGAGGUGGGUUUAGAAAAGAAACUUAUUCAACUGAGGGUUCAGUUAGGAGGGGAUCAAUGGAAAAUUAUGAAAGACAAGUUUUUUGUUAUGCAAAGUGACUAAAGACAAGUUUUUUGUUAUGCAAAGUGACUAAGGAUCAAUGGGCUGAAAAACAUGAUGUGAUACCUAUAAAUUAGAGAAUAAGAACAAAAGUAAUACUACUAUUGUCAUUAUCAAUAAUAUUCCAUAUCAAUACAAGUAAUUUUACUAGACUUUGUUAGUUUAUUUUUUUGCAUUUUUACUUAUUCAUGUUAGUUUUUCCUUAUUUGAAAGUUUAUUAAAUCAACUAGUUAAUAAUUAUCUGACUCUCUAGUUACAUAUCAUUAUUUUUAUCGGUUAGUAAUUUGCUAACUCUUUGAAAUUUGAUGGCGAAUUAAUUUUACUAAACUUUAAUGUAUGAUAAUUAUAAUUGUAUGUAACUGUCAUGUAAUAAGCAGAAUAACAAGGGGAUUCUUGAAACUUCUACCAUUUACAUUUCUUUAAGAGAUAAUACCCAAUUACCUCCCUGAGCUAUACUCAAAAAAGGCUAUGACACACCUCAACUUAAAGGGGGUCCUAUUACCCCCUAAACUAUUUAAAAGUGUAAUUUUAACACCCUUAGUGCCUACGUGGCACAACACACUGAAGUGUCCACAUAGGCACACGUGUGUGCCACAUAUGUGCCACAUAGGCACUAAGGGUGUUAAAAUUACACGUUUAAUUAGUUUCGAGGGGAGGGGGGUAAUAGGACCCCCUUUAAGUUGAGGUGUGUCAUAGCCUUUUUGUGUAUAGUUCGAGGGGGUAACUGGGCAUUUUCUCUUUCUUUAAUUAAAAGUGCAUGUUAUUUUUUUUGUUGUUGUCCUAACUGAGACACCAACUUAUAAUCAAAAUAUGAUAUUCUUGAUGCCACAAAAGGUUUUGUAUUGGAAAGAAUUCGAUAAUCUUGGAGAAAGAAUAGAUUUGAUUUGAAGGAGCAACAUCACGGUCCAUAUGAAAAUGAUGAAGUUCGAAUUGCCAACAGGCUUGAAUGUGUUCCAGAGUGUCAAUUUAAAGAGACCCUCAAAUAUUGAAAGUCUAAAAAAUUUUAGGUGAAAUAUAUUUCAAUAUCUGUGAUCAUAUUACUUUUAUUGCUACAAAGCCCUUAUUACUUUAGUUAAUUUCAUUGAUUUAUUUUACCGUGAAUGUCCAAAACAAACAUUGAGAAUGAAGCUAAUGAAUCCACACACUGCUGGAAAAAAAAAAUUACUUUAAUUCACAAUAAAUUGGUGUUUUCUCAUAUUUAUUAUUGAGUUAUAACUUGUCAAUUAAGUAAUUUUUUAUAUUCAUUUUCAUAUGAAUAGGAAAAAAAGAAGGAGAAAACUGUGUUGUUAAAGGAUAUUUUUAUGGCCACAAGAGCAAGAAAACCUGAUCGUACAUACAAGGCGUUAAAUGAAAACACCACAAGAAAAAUUAUAUGAAACUUACCUAUUUCAAGUUUAUAUUGACAUCAAUGAUCAGUUCGUAAUUUAUAAUUACUUGAUGUACUUUUGAAUAUGAUUUAUUAGGCUGAAACGAAAGAAAUUAAAAUGCAACUGGAUGCAAAUGAUCAACCUGUUGAUGAAUUUUCAGCAGUCAUGGGUGUUGAAUAUCCAAGAUGUCUAUGAUUGUUUGAAGGAUGAGUUAAAAAGACUUCUUUAAAAAUAAUAAAUGACACUUCUAAAUCAACUUUAAAUGUCACCAAUGAUGUCAUGCGACAAAUGCAAGAAAGGAUGGAAAAAAUAGAGGAUCAAAUCAGUGAACAAAAUAGAAUCAUUUGAUAAGAAGUUAUUACAGAUGUAAUUGCUCAACUUUAGAUUGCAGAAUUAACUGAUUCUAAGAUACUAGCGGCAUAGUCCACUCCAUCAAGAGAAUCUACCUCUACACUAGCAUCUACAGAGAGAAACAGUCAAG